GAUGAAGAACGUAGUGAAAUGCGAUAAGUAAUGCGAAUUGCAGAAUUUCCGUGAGUCAUCGAAUCUUUGAACGCACAUUGCGCCCCCCAGUAUUCUGGCGGGCAUGCCUGUUCGAGCGUCAUUUCAACCAUCAAGCCCUGCUUGUGUUGGGGUCCUGCGGCUGCCCGCAGGCCCUGAAAACCAGUGGCGGGCUCGCUAGUCACACCGAGCGCAGUAGCACAUCUCGCUCAGGGCGUGCGGCGGGCUCCAGCCGUUAAAGCACCCACCUUUCGCAAGGUUGACCUCGGAUCAGGUAGGAAUACCCGCUGAACUUAAGCAUAUCAAUAAGCGGAGGA
rnacentral:misc_RNA from 1 species